AAAUACUUAGUAUUUAAUUUUUUUAUGCCAGGAAACUAGCAUUCAGGUUAAUCUCCAGGAAGCACUUGAGAAAUGAAUCAUUCUAGAAUCUGAUUUUUAUAACUUGUGUGAUAAUCAACAUUAAGGAAAUAUGCACAUAAUUACUUCUGACUUGUGUUAACUUUCCAGUUAAUGAUGUGAUGUGCACAAUUUAUGGUCAAAGGAAGAACUAAACACUGAAGCAAAUAGAUCUCACAAUUAAGCUGAGGCUCUCCGGUGCUUCCCAAGAAUUCUCAAGUUAACACCAAAAUGAACAAUGGAAAUGUUUGUAUGAAGCGCAUCCAUGUUGGAGUGAGACCAGGGCCUUCUCAUGAGCUAAACAGAAUGUGUUAGAACCUCUAUAGACUAAGCAAGUUCUGAAAUUUUAUCUUCCUCUGAGCCUUUCCACAGGAGCCAACGUGAGGGGCAGAUGCUCCGUAGCACAAGCCUCGUCUUUUCCUCCUCCCGUGACCACCUGCUUCCUGCCUCAGCACUUGGAUCUGCCUCACAGCCCAGCUGUUUCCUCUGUUCCAGGCCCCAUGGCUCUCUCAGUCAUGGCACAAGUGCUGUGUGAGCAGUGACCCUUGUGGCUUCCCUGUCAUCGUCCAGCUGCCUUCAGCCUGAGCACUGACUUUAACAGAUUCCCCUCACAUUUCUGCUGUCAGCCUGAGGCCAGACUUCACAACUUCCCUCGUCCAUUUCGCUGGCCUCCUGCCUCGGUUAGGAGCUUCAGAGAUUCUCGAACACGCCCCAUCUGCCCGCUGAUGCCUCCCAGUUUAAUGGCUGCCCUACUCCUUGGGAUUCUCUUCCGCAGAGGAGGACAUGAAGUGUAGAGGGCUUCUCCAACAUACAGUUGACAAUGUUGUUCAACGAAGCUUCAAAUUAAUUUGAAUUUUGUGAAAAUAAGCAUUAAAAUAUGCCUACAUCACACUUAAGUCAGAUGCAAAGGUUAUCUCGCAGCAGGCUUAGAAGACAAGCAUAAUCAGAGAUAGGUAGCAUAAUUACAGUAGGAAAAGCACUACAAUAAGAACCGAAAUAUGCCAGGGGAGUGGAUCUCUAAUUUCUCCCUAACUUUAACAACACUUCUGGCCUCGGGAAGUCACUUUGCUGAUCCGGGUCUCAAAUGCCUCGUUAAUAAAAUGUAAAUUGUAAGAUUUUGUCCACCUAAGGACCAUGGCCUUGGCCAGGUAAAAGUUUAAAUUAAAUUCACUUCAUUAUAAAAGUAAGAUAAAAAUAGGUAAUACUUAAAAUUCGACAACAUUUAAUUCUGUUAAAAACAGAACAUUUUAUGUUAAGUAGUAAUGUGAAAACAAUACUUGAAAAUAUAGAAAACAAGAAACAAAUCUUUUAAUAUGAUUGUUGGCAUUUUUAAGUAUAUUUCUUUUUGUGGGUACACGUAGAUAUAUAUUCUCUUUCUUUCUCUUUCCCUCUCCCUCGCUCUCACAUGCACAACACUGUGUACUUCUAAUUACCCUCUGCUUUUUCACUUAUAUUAUAAUUUAUGUCAUAAUUUAAAGUAGAUUUUGUUGUAAGUAUAGUUUCAUUUUAUUUCAGUCUUUAUCUUAGUGUUAAAUUAUUCUAUUCUAUUCUAUUCACAAUUCUCUUAUCUUUUGAUUUAAAUUUCUGGUUUCCAUAAAUAAAGUUACAAUCAUAGACACAUUAAGUAUUUAUUAUGUUCCAGGUUCUGUUAAAAUUAUUUG